rnacentral:lncRNA from 1 species
CACAUAUAUAAAGGAUUGCUCUCUCCCUCCCAGCUGCGCUCCUUCCCUCACUGGUUGUGCACAUCCUCUCUGCGGACGAUCUUGUAGAUGAUCCAGUAGAAAAUGUUGAAGAUGAGGAACGCCAUGGGGAAGCCGAUACGCGAGAUCUUGUCGAUCUUCUUGGCUCGUUGGAUGAAGAGCUUUCGCAUCUCCUCGGGGGAGCGGGACGGCGGGGGGACCGGGUUGGCUGUGUUGUUGUUAUUGGCACCCUUGACGGAGAUGCCAUCCUUGGCUUGUAGGCAAGCUGGCCCCAUCCCGUAGGCGGUGAAGUUGAACCUGCCUUCACCAGCUUCAUCCUCCUGGAACAGAUUCAGCAUGGGACUCUACUUAAAAUGAGAUAUAGACAGUGCACCCUCGCUAUAAGGCUCUCCGCUGACUGCUCCCUGCUCUGUAAGGGCAAAACACCCCUGUCACACCCCGGCCUCAGCACUAUUGUACAACUCCCCAGGAGAUCAGCCUUAUAGAGGGGUGCCAGCUGCACGAUGCACAGAUGCAAAUCAGGGGAUCCAGGCACCCAGUGGAGAACAGGACUGGCUUCCACCCCAUUGAGUGUCUUUUCUGGAUGGCCCCUGCACCGAGCGGAUAGCUGCGUGGGAUGGAGGCACUGUGCUGGCACUGAGGUGGGCAAGCAGAGGGAGGAGCACACUGGUGUUAUCUGAGCAAAACCAAACAAAAUCAAGCCUUU